GUGCUGUUCCGAUCUGGUCUUCAUGCUUGCACAACAAACACUGUAAUCACUAAGCCAUCUUCCCAGCCACAACUUCAAAUUUUUUUUUUCUUUUUUCCGUCUAACCCCGAGUUCCCACUA